rnacentral:rRNA from 1 species
UGAGGAAUAUUGGUCAAUGGGCGGCAGCCUGAACCAGCCAUCCCGCGUGAAGGAAGAAUGCGCUAUGCGUUGUAAACUUCUUUUUCAGGGGGAUAAAAUUCUGUAUGUAUACAGGACUGAAGGUACCCUGAGAAUAAGCAUCGGCUAACUCCGUGCCAGCAGCCGCGGUAAUACGGAGGAUGCGAGCGUUAUCCGGAUUUAUUGGGUUUAAAGGGUGCGUAGGCGGAAUAAUAAGUCAGUGGUGAAACCCUGCAGCUUAACUGUAGACUUGCCAUUGAUACUGUUUUUCUUGAGUAUGGUCAAGGCAGGCGGAAUGUGUAAUGUAGCGGUGAAAUGCUUAGAUAUUACACAGAACACCGAUAGCGAAGGCAGCUUGCUGGGCCGUUACUGACGCUGAUGCACGAAAGCGUGGGGAUCGAACAG